AUAGUUAGUUUAUAAUUGAUUUGCAAUCGAUUGAUAUGAGAAUUUCAUACUGAAUA
rnacentral:tRNA from 1 species